UACGUAGGGGGCUAGCGUUGUCCGGAAUCAUUGGGCGUAAAGCGCGUGUAGGCGGUCCGGUAAGUCCGCUGUGAAAGUCGGGGGCUCAACCCUCGGAUGCCGGUGGAUACUGUCGGGCUUGAGUACGGAAGAGGCGAGUGGAAUUCCUGGUGUAGCGGUGAAAUGCGCAGAUAUCAGGAGGAACACCAAUUGCGAAGGCAGCUCGCUGGGACGUUACUGACGCUGAAACGCGAGAGCGUGGGGAGCAAACAGG
rnacentral:rRNA from 1 species